rnacentral:rRNA from 1 species
GGUUUACCUGUGUGACUGCGUACCUUUUGUAUAAUGGGUCAGCGACUUAUAUUCUGUAGCAAGGUUAACCGAAUAGGGGAGCCGGAGGGAAACCGAGUCUUAAUUGGGCGUUAAGUUGCAGGGUAUAGACCCGAAACCCGGUGAUCUAGCCAUGGGCAGGUUGAAGGUUGGGUAACACUAACUGGAGGACCGAACCGACUAAUGUUGAAAAAUUAGCGGAUGACCUGUGGCUGGGGGUGAAAGGCCAAUCAAACCGGGAGAUAGCUGGUUCUCCCCGAAAGCUAUUUAGGUAGCGCCUCGUGAACUCAUCUCCGGGGGUAGAGCACUGUUUCGGCUAGGGGGCCAUCCCGGCUUACCAACCCGAUGCAAACUGCGAAUACCGGAGAAUGUUAUCACGGGAGACACACGGCGGGUGCUAACGUCCGUCGUGAAGAGGGAAACAACCCAGACCGCCAGCUAAGGUCCCAAAGUCAUGGUUAAGUGGGAAACGAUGUGGGAAGGCCCAGACAGCCAGGAUGUUGGCUUAGAAGCAGCCAUCAUUUAAAGAAAGCGUAAUAGCUCACUGGUCGAGUCGGCCUGCGCGGAAGAUGUAACGGGGCUAAACCAUGCACCGAAGCUGCGGCAGCGACGCUGAUGCGUUGUUGGGUAGGGGAGCGUUCUGUAAGCCUGCGAAGGUGGCCUGUGAGGG